UCGAGUUAUCGGAAAGGACAAUAUUCAGUCAGACGGAUUUUCAGUUAUAGGUGUAGAAUUUUUCUAUUUAACUGUUAAACUUUCCGAUUAGCUGUUGAAAAACGGCAUUGGAUUAAACAAUGAUCUACGAUUUUUGCAUGAAGUGUCGCCGUCUUGUGAGGCCUAGGAGAAAGUGAAGGACAUGUAUAUCAUGUGGAAAAAAACAACAUGAACAGUAACUGAAGGUUAUCCGAUAUACCGAGUUACCGAUAUUGUUAAACGCUAUACUAUUUAUACAGACAAUGAAUUAAAAGAGACAGCACAAACGUACGAUACUUGUUCGCGAGUCGCUGAGGACGUAUAUUUGAUAGCAAGGACUUGGACUUGAACAAUCAUGAAAACGGUUUACAUUGCUCCGGUGAUUUUCUUCUGCUUACUUGCGGGCCGUAACGCCAGCUCAUCAUGUACACCUGGUGAUAAGCAGUGUGACUCUUGUUCAGUAAAAGCUGGCAAGACUGACUCAUUGUUCAAAAGAUCUUUGUAAAACUCCAAUCGCGGAAGGCGAUAAUCAGUGUGGGAUAGCGGGAGUGUAUCAAAACCAGCUAGAGUCAGUUAUCAGUUUUACAUGCAAAGACGGUAGUAUUGACGGGCGCUAUUGCAGCGCUGUUGGUGAAGCGAUCUUUUUCUACCAAUUGGCUGGACGUUACCUGGUGGCGAAUGAUAACGUUAUACUGGGAUGGACUGUAUCUUUGGUAAAUGCGCAUGGGAACAGCGAGGCGGCCACAUCUUGGACUGGCAUCUCGUACAGUGGUCAGGACACGAUUGACACUCAGUGGCUCCUUGUGGCGAACAAGGAGGAAUUCUGGAACACCACAACGAUCAACGGUGACACAUUCACUAAAGUGUGUAUUUAAAAUCCUAUGGACGGGGACCUCUAAGACAAAUUACCCGUCUAUUAUACCAAUAUCACCGAUUGAAUAGAACGUAUUAUUGUUUGAAUUGAAUAUAAACUUUUCCAUAAUAGAAUAGCCGCUGUUCCAAUUGUUCAUUAAGAAAGUCAACUCACUGAUGUUAAUUAAUUAGCUAAAAUGUAUUUGUAUGUACUUGAUCUUUUCAGAGACAGAGAUUUGUUUUGAAUUUAAGUCCUAAUAAAAAGCACCAAAUGGAA